UACGUAGGGGGCGAGCGUUGUCCGGAUUCAUUGGGCGUAAAGAGCUCGUAGGCGGUUCGCUAAGUCAGGUGUGAAAUCUCCGCGCUCAACGCGGAGGGGCCACCUGAUACUGGCGUGACUCGAGUCCGGUAGGGGAGUGUGGAAUUCCCGGUGUAGCGGUGAAAUGCGCAGAUAUCGGGAGGAACACCAGUGGCGAAGGCGGCACGCUGGGCCGGAACUGACGCGGAGGAGCGAAAGCGGGGGUAGCAAACAGG
rnacentral:rRNA from 1 species